rnacentral:rRNA from 1 species
AGUAACGCAUAGGUUAUGUGCCUCUUAGUUUGGGAUAGCCAUUGGAAACGAUGAUUAAUACCAGAUACUCCCUACGGGGGAAAGAUUUAUCGCUAAGAGAUCAGCCUAUGUCCUAUCAGCUUGUUGGUAAGGUAAUGGCUUACCAAGGCUAUGACGGGUAUCCGGCCUGAGAGGGCGAACGGACACACUGGAACUGAGACACGGUCCAGACUCCUACGGGAGGCAGCAGUAGGGAAUAUUGCUCAAUGGGGGAAACCCUGAAGCAGCGACGCCGCGUGGAGGAUGAAGGUUUUAGGAUUGUAAA